ACAUUGAGGAGACAAAACAGGGAUCACAAUAGGACCACUAUAGAAGAAGCAACAACAACAUGGUUCACGCUAAAACAAAUUUGGUUCAAGCUAAAACAACAUGGUUCAUUGCACUAAAAAACACAAAUUUCAUUCCUGAAAAUUAACAAGUGAGAAUAAACCCUUACAAAUUUAUAAAAGUUAGAACGAAAAACAGUGAAAAACGUACCUUAAAACAACGACGACAACCGGAAUUGGAGCGUAUAGUUGGCGCUAGGGUUUUCAGAUUGAGAUGAUUUAAGAGAGUUGAUCGAGAAGAGAGAUAUAAGCGUAAAAGUAGCUUUUGGAUUUUAGGGUUUUAAAGAACAUUUAACGGAAAAGAUAACGGAGGACUAAAUUGAUGGAUGGAAAAUAGUUUAGGGACCUAAUUGAUGGAUGAAAAAUAGUUUAGGGACCUUUUAGUUGGUUUUAAUAGUUUAGGGACUGAGUUGGUGAGAGAGUGAUAGUUUAGGGACUAAAUUGACUAAUUAGUGCAUUAGUAUUGGUCCCCAACGUUACAAUUUCCUCUUCAUUUGGCUGAAGCUUGUUUUUAUAUACGAACAGUAAUUUAGAAAGCAAUACAACAUAUAUAUUUCAUUCUUCUUUGUUUCAAGUAAGAAAUACACAUAACAAGAAUUCAUAAAAAUAAAAACACCACUCUCUCUUGAAGCCUUGUUGUAUACACAAAAUUCUCUUCUCUUCCACAUAAUUUUUCCAUCAAAAUAAAUUAUUCUUUCUUUUGUGUUUCAUUGGUUUUGUGAACUGGUAUUGUUGUACCAGCACUGAUAUUGUUGUAUCAGUGAGAUUGAUAUUGUUGUAUCAAUUUUCGAGUGGUUUUGUAGAACCAUUCAAGAAGGUGUUCCUUCUCCGAUCAUUAUAGUGCAGUAACUGAUCGGUUCUGUGUUGAACAGGGCUGUUUUAUCCUGGGGACGACGCGGUUGGAUUGUCUGCUUUGCACAAUUUGAGCAGUACCGCGAAACGUCUUAAAGAGAGCGACCUAGUACGCGACUCAACCAAUAAAAUCUUCAGUUCUAAUUUUUAGAAAAUUAUUUUUUCAAUAUCAAAAACAACACUUACUCUAUAUUUUCUUAUUCUACUUGUUGAUAUCUUUUCACUUUUAUUUAUUGGUUGUAUUUCUGUUUUCAUCUUAUGUCAAUGGUGUUCUCUUUUUACAGGUUCUUUGAGGGGCAUUUUUCUUGGUAAUUGUUGUUCUUAUUCAUGAUAAUAAUGAUUGAUCACAUAACCCUUCUUUGUAGCGUAGUGUAGUGUAGUGGGCUUAAGGGUUUUAAUUUUAUGUUUAUUAUCAACAAAUUAUUUAGUUUUACACUAGAAAAAUUCUUUGAAUCUGCUUUGUUUGUACAAUGAACAUGUGUUGGUCUCAAUGUUUUGUAUAACUUGCUUUUGUUUUCAAAAUUAUGCAGUGACUCGGAUCUCAGUCCAAAAGACAAAAAUCUUCAUAUUAGAGUAGAGGAAAAAUAACUUGAUAUUAGUUUAAUAUAUAGAGAUUGUGUUCAAUAUUCAUGAUUUUUAAUCAAUCUAUUUACUCAUUCAUUUUUAAUCUUCUCAUUUCAUUAUUGAUUAGUUUUCUUCUUUUCUUAUAACAUGUAAAUAUUGAUUGAUUGGAUUGAAUGAUGCUUGUUCUCUGACAACAACCCCUAGUCCUGUUGUUUUGUGAUCCAGUUACCAAUUUCAUUGGUAGGUCAAUUGUUUAACCAUACUAUGUUUUUUUGUUUGUUUUUUGCUUUCAUCACUUUUUUCAACAUACCUGAUAUUGCAAAUAGGUUGCUUGAGAAAGCAUUAAUAUUUAUCAUCAUCUACGGUAUGUAUGAUAAGUUCUUUGAGAUGCAACCCAAAAAUGCUCUGGAAGAUCUUGAUAUAUACCGAAGGGUGGGGCUACAGAUUUUUAGACACAUGGUGCUUUGUCAUCAUCACAGUUGAUUGCUUCUACUACUGUUUAGCUUUAUUCCAAAAGUUUCUCAACUUCAUGGAUUACAGAUGCUUCUAGUGCCCCGACCAAACAUAUUCUCAAAGUCCAUACAACGAUGAAGAUUGAAAAGAGAGAUUAGAAGUAAACAGUGUAAGCUGUUGCAGCUUAUUGCUCGGUGGGAAUGUCAUGUACUGUGUUGUGGGUUGUGAGCCGUUGCAGUUUAUUGCUUGGUAGGGAUGUCAUAUGGAUGUUUUUGUUGUUGCUAGUUUUUUAGAAGUAACCAAUAGUUCUCUUAAGUUAUUUGGUGCAACUUCAAUUUUGGAAGAUUUAGCCAAGUGACAUUGUUUUGGUGUUUUAAUGUACUCCGCUAGUUUGUAAGACUUUUUAGUUUUUUUAAUAUAAUAAUCAAUGUUUUAAGAACCGAACCGGAGGUCGAGCCGGUGUGGUCACUGGUUCAUGGUU